GUACCCCGCCGGCCUGCCGACCCGGGUCCGGGGGCCCAGUUGGCGCCCGGACCAGCUCUCCGGUCUGCGUCCUGUAGAUGGGAAAACUGAGGCCUGAGAGGGCGCGAGGGCGGGGACGAGGCCGAGGACUCGGGUUCGAAUCUCGAGGACGCCAGUAGCCCGCUCUGAGGCCGCGUGGGGCUGGUGGAGGAGCCACCGGUCGGGCCCCCAAGACCGGCUGACGUGGGCCUCGCCUCGGGCGACUCCCGCCGGGCUAGUGGCUGGCCGUGUGGUGACCUUGGGCGAGUUACUUCGCACAGCCACCCAGGGGCCUCUUCUCCAACACGAUAGCACUGCACCCGGAGGGUAGGUGAGAGAUGAGUUGGUGCUUGGAUGCCCUAGGGAGUGUCAGCGUCCUCGGUCCUCCCUGUGGUGAUCCCUUCAACGAGUACGCACUGAGCCCGUGAUGGGCCAGGUACAAUGCACAGGCUCAUUCUUCCAGGCCCACCAGCCAUGUUGGCUACACAAUUCUAUUUUUGUUUUGUUAGAGAUGGAGCCUCACUUUGUCCCCAAGGUCGGAGUGCAGUGGCGCCAUCAUAGCUCACUGUAACCUCAAAUUACUGGGCUCAAGUGAUCCUCCUGCGUCAGCCUCCCAAAGCGCUGGGACUACAGGCGUGAGCCACUGCGCCUGGCACACAAUUGGUUUAACCACCACAUCAUUUUAGCAGCUUAGGAAACUGACGUCUUGACUUCUGUUUUGGCUGCUUGAAAAUACAGUGCAAUAUAAAUCCCGAGACCUCUGCUGAGCUGGAUGUGGAGUGGGUGUGGGCAUCAUUUAGAACAUGGCAAUCCUCAGGUCACACAGGAAUGUCUUGUUAAUGAUCCUUCUGUGAACAAUGUUCCUUGGAGGGAAGUCCACUUAAGCAAGGCUGGAGCAGCAGAUGGGGCAGCUGAGCCUGGAUUACUUGCCUUGCCUCUAGAAUAGGUCUUAGAGCUUUGGACUGAAGGGGGGCCGCCUCCUUGUAUCCUGGUAUUGGUGUCAGUAUCCGUCUGCCCAUUCUUGAGAAAUGGAAAUGGUCAGAAUCUAUCCAGGUUCUGAUCUGCAUCCCUGUUGUCUAAUUUAAACUUUCAUUCCAUGGCGUUUUGGGGAGUACCUGUCUCAUGAAGAGCCCUGAGGUUACAAGGAUAAUUAGAGCCUAAAUCUAAGGAGCCCAUAUUUGGGGAAACUAUUAUGUCAAUAGCUAAUGAGAGCACAGUGUUGUAAGUGCUCAUAUUAGUUUUCUAUUCCUGCAUAACAAAUUGGCACAAAUUUUGCAGCUUAAAGCAACACCCAUUGAUUUACUCACAGUUGUGUAGGUCGGAAAACUGGCAUGGUGUGGCUGGGUUUUCUGCUCGUGGUGUCAUAGGCUGAAAUCAAGAUGUCUAGCACCUCCACGAGGGAAAGGUCUGCCCCAGGCUCCUUCGGGCUGUUGGCAGAAUUCAUGUCCCUGUAGGACUAGGAUCCCACAGCUACACUGUUUUGCCAGCUCUCUGUUGGGGACCACUCUCAGGUCCUUGCCACGUGAUCCCUUUUAUCUCAUCAACAGAGAACCUUUCUCAUGUCACUCCCUCUCAUUCUUUAAAUAUCUCUGAUUUCCCUUCUUCAACCAGUCAGAGAACACUAUGAGCUUUUAAAAGACUUGUAAUUAGGUCAGACCCACCUAGAUAAUCUUCCUACUUUAAGAUCACCUGUGCCACAUCACAUACCCUAAUCACAGGAGUAAAAUUCAUCAUAGCCACUGUCCCAGGGACUAUGCAGAAGGUGUACAUGAAGGUUAAUCUAGGAAGCUACCUUAGAAUUCUGCCUACUACGUCCAGUGAGAAAUGUUCUCUUGAACAUUUUCUCUAUGAAUUCCCCUAGCAGUUUGUUCUGUAACUCUGUCCAUGGCACCAUAUAUGUUGCCAUUAUUGGAGUAUAUUUCUAAACCUCUUUUCUAGGCUGAAAGCGUCUUGAGAUCAGGAACCUUAUUCACACCUGUAGCCUUAGAUAAGGCUUGGCAUGAGGGAGAUAUUCCCACAUCUGCUAAAAAUAAAUAAAUAUUAUGCAUAUUGUCCUUUGGAUUCCUGCUUUUUUUUUUUUUUGAGAUGGAGUCUCGCUCUGUCAUCCAGUUUGGAGUGCAGUGGCAUGAUCUCGGCUCACUGCAAGCUCCAUCUUCCGGGUUCACGCCAUUCUCCUGCCUCAGCCUCCUGAGUAGGUGGGACUACAGGCGCCUGCCACCACGCCCAGCUAAUUUUUUGUAUUUUUAGUAGAGACAGCGUUUCACCAUGUUAGCCAGGAUGGUCUCAAUCUCCUGACCUUGUGAUCCGCCCUCCUUGGCCUCCCAAAGUGCUGGGAUUACAGGCGUGAGCCACCACACCCAGCCUCCUGCUUCUUUUUUAGAUCCAGCUCAGAACUUCUCUGACACUUCUCAGGAAGAACUCAUUUCUCCCUCCUCUCCACUGUCACUUGGUAAAAAUCUCUGUGUGAAAUGUUUCCCAUUGUAGUAUUUUAAGUCAGACUGUAGUUUCCUUGAAUAUAGUACUUUGCUUUUAUUCCACUUAAUAUUCCAGGGCACAGCAUAAUGUAUUAACAGUUCUGUGCUGUUCAAUUAAACAACUAAUUACACAUGGGUGUUAUUAGUUGCUUAAUGUUUGGAUUUUAAUAAGGGGGGUUAAAAACCAAGAGGCAACUGGAGAGUGGAAUUGGGCUAUGACAGACCCUGUGACCUUUGGGUUACAGGUGUGGGGAAGCCAAGAAAUACAGAGGCAAUGGAGAGGGAAGAAAUAGGCAAGUUAAUCAGGAUGUAAUUUUUUUUUAAAGGAGGUAUGCUAGGAAACCCCAGGUCUGCUCUUUUCUACAUUACAUUACAGCAAAAAGGAGUGAUUAUUCUGGCACUGACAGAACUGACAAAAACAGUAGUUUUUGUUUUGUUUUUUGUUUUUGUUUUUUUUCAUGUUGUUGAUGACCCAGUAGAAGAGUUGGUAAAGGAAAUGGGAAAGAUGGUUUCUGAUGCUUAAAGAAAGUAUGUGUGUUGCGGGGUGUGGGGGGGAUGCAUUGAAAUACAUAAGAGCCUUCACCACAUUAAGUCCUACACAUCAAUUAAGACUACCUUCCCCAGGAACUUCCUCUGAUACCUUCUCUUCCAUCCUCACCCCAGGAUAAAUUAAAUGCCCCUCCUUUCGCUCUCCUUGUAGCCUGGCACCUUCAUUCAUCAUUGCAUUUACUAGGAUCUGUGCAUAUCAUUUUCAUUUAUGCUUAUCUUUCACCUGACUGUAAGCUCCACAGAUUGGAACUCUGUCUUUGUUCUUCAUUACAUCCACAGCACCUCGCACCAUACCUGGAACACAUUUGGUGAUCAGUCUAUAUUUAUAGAAUGAAUGUGCACAGUAGGACCCUUUCAGACCCAAGCCACAGACCAAAGAGGCAACCUCCUUAUUAUCUGCCUUGUGACCACAGGGCCCCACUGGCUGUUCAGAUUCAGACAUGUGCUGAGCCCAAACCUUGUUGUUUAUCUAAGACGCUUCUGCUCUUUCUCCUCUUGUAAAAUACAAAGUAAAAAUAGUUCCAGGAAGCUGUGUGGUUAAGACAUUCCAGUCUCUGAGCUCCUAGAUAAAGGCUGUUAUUGUUAGGAAGGUGGUCAUUAAUCCAACCUGCCUUUUCUGUAUGCUUUGGUUUCACACCCUUCUAAAGGUACUGAUUCUUUGUCCUCAGUUUCCCUUAAGCCUGUCACUAGCCGGUAACUGGAAAAAAUAAUAACUUUACAGCAGUUGAUGUACGAAUGAUCUAAAGGUAUCAGUUGAUCACAAGUUUGCUUUAUGCUCUGGAAUUGUGACUUUAACUUAUUCUCAAAGUGCCUUACCAGAUGGCUUAUAUCCUCAUCUAUAAAAUGGAAGAAAUGACACCUACCUCACCAGAUUAUUGAAGACUGAAAGAAAAUAAAGUAGAAAGACCUCCUGGCACACAGUAAUGGCCAAGAAAACGUCAUAGAUUGGAAUCACAGUUUGGAAUCCCCUCACUUUGUUCUGCUAUGGCCAGACUUUGGGCUAUUGAGUUUGUCCUAGGCAUUAUAUUUUAAAAGAGUGAUGUUGACAAAUUAUGACCCAGAAGCAAAUGACCAGAUAAGGAAUCUGGAAAUCAGACUUUAUAAGGAGCAGCUGAAAGGAGUUGGGAACAUUUAGCCUGCAGAAGAAAUAACUACUAAUGGGAGUAGAGUGGGGUAGGGCAAGGCCUUAGAAGGGUCUUCAGAUAAUUGAAGGGCUAACAUGUGGAAAAGGAUUAGGCCUCAAUUCUAUUCCACACAUAUCUAUGGAACUCCUAUUAUGUGCCAGGAACUGGGAAUGCAAAUAAAUGUAAAGUACAAUCCGUGUCUUUAAGGAUCUCAGUCUACAAGGGACCAUGACAAUGCAAAAAAGGCUAUUACAGAGGACUUUGCAAUGUCCUCUGUAAUAUGGAGAAGGCAGAGGAGGGUUCAUUGAGCCCAGAGAUACUGGGGAAGACUUCACCAAGAAGGUGACAUUUGAGUGGACCUUAAAGGAAAACUAGGACUUUUUUAGGCAGAGAAGGAGGGGAAGGACACAUAGGCAGCAAGUACAGCAUGAACAAAGACAAAAAGGCAUCCUCAUGGAAAACCUAGGAUGCAUCGGAAAAGAAGAGGGAAGUGAGCCUGCAAUAUUUGACUGGAGCCAGAUUGUCAAGGGCCUUGAUUAUUAGCUAAAGAGCUUGGACUAUUUACCUUGAGUGGGUAUUGAACUAUUUACCUUGAGUGGGUAUUGAAGAGCCAUCAAAGGCCUUUAAGCAGAUUUUUAUUUUAAAAGGAAAUCUCUAGCACAGCUUGCUGAAAGAGCUACACUGAAGAGAGAUAGGAGGCAGGGAAGACAAGGCCUCUCAGCAUACCAAAGAGAGUCCAUGGACUUGACUCUUCCACUGACCAUGGGUAAAUUUGGGCACAUUAUUUAAACUUUCUGAACUAUUUUUUUUUUUUUAGUUUGUAAAUUGAACAUCUACUUUAUAGGGAUGUUUCAGGAAUCAAGUGAGGUAACAUAUCCAAGACUCUCACAUGUGUCUGGUACACAAACGGUGCUCAGUAAGUGAACACCAUUCCCUUCCUUCCCUUUCUCUUAAUGGACAGAGUAGACAGAGAAACAGAGUUCUACUUGAUGAUGCUAGCAUUCAUGGGCAAACAAUGGGAUAAUACUCUUGGGGAAAUGAAUACAUCACUGGACACAUUCAAGAAGGGUAUUUCUUUGGUAGAAGAUGAAUUGAACCAGAUAAGCCUCUAAAAUCUCAUUCUUACUCUAAGAGUCUAUGAUUCUGUCACCUUUAGGUCAUAGUAUUAUGGAGAUGGUCAAGAACCUGAGGUUUGAUAUAUAUUUGAUAUAUAGUAUGAUAUAUACUUAAUAUAUUAUAUAUCAAAUAUCUUAUAUAUAUAUAUUAUGGAGAUGGUCAAGAAUCUGAGGUUUGACUUUGUUGAAAGCACCAAUUGGACCCAAAAGAAAUGAAUCUUCCUCAAAAUGAAUAUCUGUUACUGAAGUGUACAAUUAAAAAGACCUUACCCUAAACAGUCCCUCAGGAGUAACUGUACUACAGGAGAAAGAGAGCUGGGUUUCCAACUUAGAGGCCUGCAUUCCGGUGUCAGAAAUUAAGGAUUUUGCUGUACAGCUUUGGACAGGUCAUUCUUCAUGUCUUGGCCUACAUUCCUCCAUCAGGAAGAUGUGGAGGUUGGGCCUCUAAGGGGUCUUCUAUUACUAACAUUUUGGGAUUCUGGGAGUCUAAGUUAUUGAGAUCAUGAAAUUGUGGAUGUAAAAAUGUUAGGAGAUUUCAAGGGUUCCCACAGCAACUAUAUCAUUCACAGUUUAUAUAUAUGUCUCAAUUUAACAGCAUCAAAUCCACCUAAAAUAUAUUUUUUUAAAUAUGUCACAUGCAUUGAGAGUGAGACUCAUUUGACAUUCUUCUUGGAAUCAGAACUUCAGAAUUCAGUGCAUUUCAGGUCCCAGCAUUAACUCAUCUGCAAAUUGGAUUAGUUCAUAUUUCUGGUUGAGAGAGGAGGCACUUUAUAUAGUAUGGCAAAGAAAUGAAAACAUCAGUCAUCUGUCACAGAAGGAAGAGAUGGCUCACUUCAGGCCCUAGAUGCCACCUCAUCUGGAAGUAGACAAAAAGGAAGACUUGGAGCCAGGACAGCCACGUGUUGGUCCACACUAUUCCCUUGGAAGAUCCUCCUAGCCAGCUCCUGCUCAUUCUCUGUUUGAAGUUUUCCCUUUCCUUCUUCUCUGCUCAAUAAAACAAGUUCCUCUAUUAUCUACACUUCCUUAGCAUUAUAGCAUUGAUCAUAGGGUAUGAUAAUUAUUGCCUGUGUUACUAUUGAUUCUCUACAAAUGGAUAAGGGGCACAGCAUUAACAUUUAUUGAGCACCUGCAAUGUGCCAGGUGUGUAUAUCAUCUUAUGUAAUCCACACAGCAACCCUUAUGGUGUAGGUAUUGUUACCCCUCUUUAACUGAUGAGACUAAGGUCAGAGAAGUUAAAUAACUUGCUCACAAUCAUAUAGCUAGUAAAUAACUGAGUCUGGCUUUGAAUCAGGUUUUUUUUGUUUCCCAAGCCCCUGUGAUUUUGAUUGUUCAUGCCUUUUUCUUAUCUCUGUAACUUGAACUAUUAGUAUAAGCCCAGCCUUUGGUAUACAGUUAGCCCUUGAACAAUGUGGGGGUUAGAGGCGCCAACCCCCUGUACAGUCGAAAAUUGCAUGUAACUUUUGACUCCCCACAAACUUAACUACUAAUAGCCUACUAUUGACCAGAAGCCUUACUGAUAACAUAGUCUAUUAACACAUAUUUUGCAUAUGUAUUAUAUACUGUACUCUUACAAUAAAAUAAGCUAUAGAAAAGAAAAUGUUAUUAAGAAAAUCAUAUAACAGAGAAAAUACAUUUACAGUACUAUACUGUAUUUAUCGAUACCAUAAGUUUACAUUGUCUGUUUACAGGGUGAAUCAUCUGUCUGAAAUAGCAUGCAACUGCAGCUGCAGACAUCAAUCUGCAGCACAUAUCAAGCAAUUCAACUUUUUCUUGUAAUGUCCCGACUUUUCUCUGCUUCUUGGGAGCACUUCCAGCAUCACUAGUGGCACUUUGUAUAGGUCCCAUGGCGUUAUUCAAGAUUUAUGGUAUUGUACUAAACACGAUGAAAAAUACUUGAGAACUGCAAGAGAUCACUUUUUACUGCGAUAUGCAGUUUACUGGAGAGAUGAAUGGCUCACAUGGAGAUGAUUAGCGUCACAGGUUGUUUUAAGGGAUACUCUUAACAGCUGAGCUCACCACAAUGGCUAUAGGAGGUGGCUCCAAAAUCAUUACAGUAGUACCUUAUGCACUGCAGUUAACUUCUUGUAGUUAUGAUUUAAUACUGCAUCUUUAUGUUUGUUUACAUUUUUCUCAACUGCAAAUGGCACUAUGUACAUAAGGUCUGUAAAUGUUUGUGUGCAUAAGUUUUGAUAAAUUUUAUUUAUUUUUUAUUUUUUGAGACAGGGUCUUUCUCUGUCGCCCAGGCCGACACGCUUGCAGUGGCACAGUCACGGCUCACUGCAGCUUCAAUCUCCUGGGCUCAAGUGAUCCUCCCACCUCAGCCUCUUGAGUAGAUGGGACUACAGGCACGCACCACCAUGCCGGGCUAAUUUUUUGAUUUUUAAAUAGAGACAAGGUCUCACUUUGUUGCCCAAGGCUGGUCUUGAACUCCUGGGCUCAAGCGAUUCUCUCACCUAGGCCUCCCAGAGUUCUGGGAUUACACGUAUAAGCCACCAUGGUUAACAAAUUUUAACUUUUUACAGUAGAUUUGUAUAUAUUUUAUUGUCAUAAGUGAUUAAAUAGAAUUGUUUCUACAUAUAUUUUAUGCAUUCAUGACAUAAAACUUUUUCUUAAAUUUUUUGAUAUUUCUAGGCUACGUGGUUUAUCUGAGUUUUUUCAAAUUGUCUCAAACCUCCAAACAAUUUUUCAGUAUAUUGAAAAAAGUCUGUGUAAAAUGGACCCAUGCAGUUCAAAACCAUGUUGUUCAAGGGUCAACUGUACACAAGUGAUUGAAUUAUUGUUGAAUGACAAUCCUAUUCAAUCGAUCAGUAAAGAUUUACUAUAUGGAGCAGUGCUGGGGAUUGAGCUAGCCUUUCCUUGACUAUCAGCUUCUGGGGACAUCUGCUUUGAACUAAAUACUCUCAUUAGCUUUGCUGGUAUCUCAGCUCAGCAGGAGAAGCUGUUGAUAGUCUCUUGACAGGGCCAGCUGGCAUGAUAGACUUGUUUAAACCAAAUUUGUUUCACAUCAUUCUAACAACCCUGCUUUAAGGUCCUAAUGUCACAGGAGAGACAGAAUUCAAAAACAACUGUCAUACAUAUGAAAAGGGCUAUACAGAAACUGUACAAGAUUCUAAGAGCAAAAUGGAGGGAGGGAUUAAUUCUGCCUACAAGAAUUAAGAAAGGUUUCACAGAGAAGGUGGCAUUUGAGCUGGGACUCAAAGGAUAAGCAGUUUUAUUUUUCCAUUUGUUUUGUUGGUUUAUUUUUAGUUUUUAUUUUAGGUUUGGGGAUACAUGUCAGGGUUUAUUACAUAGGUAAACACGUGUCAUGGGGGUUAGUUGUACAUAUUAUUACAUCACCCAGGUAUUAAGCUCAAUACCCAAUAGUUAUUUUUCCUGCUUCUCUCCCGCCUCCCACCCUCCCCGCUCAAGUAGACCCUAGUGUCUGUUGUUUUCUUCUUUGUGUUCAUAAAUUUUUAUCAUUCAGCUCCCAGUUAUAAGUGGAAACAUGCAGUGUUUGGUUUUCUAUUCCUGCAUUAGUUUGCUAAGGAUAAUAGCCUCCAGCCCCAUUCAUGUUCCCGCAAAAAAACAUGAUCUCAUUCUUUUUUAUGGCUGCAUAAUAUUCAGUGGUGUAUAUGUACAACAUUUUUUAAAAUCCAGUCUGUCAUUCAUGGGCAUUUAGGUUGAUUUCAUGUCUUUGCUAUUGUGAACAGUGUUGCAAUGAACAUUUGCAUGUGUAUGUCUUUGCAUACACAUUUGCAUGUAGAAUGCUUUAUAUUCCUCUGGGUAUAUACCCAGUAAUGAGAUUGCUGGGUCAAAUGGUAGUUCUGCUUUUAGCUCUUUAAGGAAUUGCUAUACUGCUGUCCACAAUGGUUGAACUAAUUUACACUCCCACCAACAGUGUAUAAGGGUUUUCUCUGCAACCUCCCCACCAGCAUCUGUUAUAUUUUUGACUUUUUAAUAAUAGUCAUUCUGACUGGUAUGAGAUGGUAUCUCAUUGUGGUUUUGACUUGCAUUUUUCUAAUGAUCAGCGAUAUUGAGCUUGUUUUCAUAUGCUUGUUGGCUGCAUUAUUUCUUCUUUUGAGAAGUGUCUGUUCAUGUCUUUUACCCACUUUUUAAUGGGGUUGUUUUUCUUUUAUAAAUUUAAGUUCUUUAUACAUGCUGGAUAUUAGACCUUUGUCAGAAGCAUAGUUUGCAAAUAUUUUCUCUCAUUCUUUAGGUUGUCUGUCGAUAGUUUCUUUUGCUGUGCAGAAGCUCUUAUGUUUAAUUAGGUUCCAUUUGUCCAUUUUUGCUUUUGUUGCAAUUGCUUUCAAUGUCUUUGUUGUGAAAUCUUUGCCUGUUCCUACAUCCAGGAUGGUAUUGUCUAGGUUGUCUUCUAGGGUUUUUCUAGUUUUGAAUUUUACAUUUAUGUCUUUAGUUCAUCUUGAGUUGAUUUUCAUAUAUGGUGUGAGGAAGGGGUCCAGCUUCAAUCUUCUGCAUAUGGCUAGCUAGUUGUCCCAGCACCAUUUAUUGAAUAGGGAGUCUUUUCCCCAUUGCUUUUGUCAGCUUUGUCGAAGAUCAGAUGGUUGUAGAUGUGCAGCCUCAUUUCUGGGAUCUCUGUUCUGUUCCAUUGGGCUAUGUGCCUGUUUUUGUAUCAGUACCAUGCUGUUUUGGCCACUGUAGCCUUGUAGUAUAGUUUGAAGUUGAGUAAUGUGAUUCCUCCAGCUUUGUUCUUUUUGCUUAGGAUUGCCUUGGCUAUUUGGGUUCUUUUUUGGUUCCAUAUAAAUUUUAAAAUAUUUUUUUUCUAGUUCUGUGAAGAAUGUUGUCAGUAGUUUGAUAGGAAUGGCACUAAAUCUGUAAGUUGCUUUGGGCAAUAUAGCCAUUUUAAUGAUACUGAUUCUUCCUAUCCAUAAGCAUGGAAUGUUUUUCCAUUUGUUUGUGUCUUCUCUGAUUUCUUUGAGCAGUGUUUUGUAAUUCUCAUUGUAGAGAUCUUUCACUUCCCUGGUUUGCUGUAUUCCCAGGUAUUUUGUUUUAUUUUUUGUGGCAGUUAUAAAUGGGAUUGCCUUCCUGAUCUUGCUGUCAGUUUACUUGGUGGGUGUAUAGGAAUGCUAGUGAUUUUUGUAUAUUGAUUUUGUAUCCUGCAGUUUUGCUGAAGUUAUUUAUCAGCUGAAGGAGCUUUCACAGGCCAAGACUAUGAGGUUUUCUAGAUAUAGAAUCAUGUUGGCUGGGAGUGGUGGCUCACGCCUGUAAUCCCAGCACUUUGGGAGGCUAAGGCGGGUGGAUCACGAGGUCAGGAGAUCGAGACCAUCCUGGCUAACAUGGUGAAACCCCGUCUCUACUAAAAAUACAAAAAAAAUUAGCCAGGUGUGGUGGCGGGCGCCUAUAGUCCCAGCUACUCCGGAGGCUGAGGCAGAAGAAUGGCGUGAACCCAGGAGGCAGAGCUUGCAGUGAGCCAAGAUUGUGCCAUUGCACUCCAUCCUGGGCAACAGAGCGAGACUCAGUCUCAAAAAAAAAAAAAAAAAAAAAAAAGAAAAAGAAUCAUGUUGUCUGCAAACAGAGAUAGUUUGACUUCCUCUCUUUCUAUUUGGAUGUCCUUUCUUUCUCUUGCCUGAUUGCUUUGACCAGGACUUCCAAUACUACGUUGAAUAGAAGUGGUGAGAGAUGGUAUCCUUGUCUUGUGCUGGUUUUCAAGAGGAAUGCUUCCAGCUUUUGCCAUUCAGGAUAAUGUUGGCUGUGGAUUUGUCAUAGAUAGCUGUUAUUAUUUUGAUGUUUGUUCCUUCAGUACCUAGUUUAUUGAGAGUUUUUAACAUAAAGGGACGUUGAAUUUUAUCAAAAGCCUUUUCUGCAUCUAUUGAGAUAAUCAUGUGUUUUUUGUCUUUAGUUCUGCUUGUGUGAUGAAUCAUAUUUAUUGAUUUUUGUAUGUUGAACCAAUCUUGCAUCCUGGGAAUGAAUCUUGCAAGUAUUUUGUUGAGUAUUUUUGUGUUGAUGUUUAUCAAGGAUGUUGGGCUGAAGUUUUCUUCUUUUGUUGUGUCUCUGCCAGGUUUUGGUAUCAAGAUGAUGCUGGCCUCAUAGAAUGAGUUGAGAAGUCCUUCCUCUGUAAUUUUUUGGAAUAGUUUCUGUAGGAAUGGUACCAGCUCUUCUUUGUACAUCUGAUAGAAUUCAGUUGUGAAUCCACCAGGUCCUGAGGUUUUUUUUUUUCUGGCCGGUAGGCUAUUUAUUACUGAUUCAAUUUUGGAACUUGUUAUUGGUCUGUUCAGGGAAUCAGUUUCUUCCUGGCUCUGUCCUGGGAGGGUGUAUGUAUCCAGGAAUUUAUCCAUGUCUUCUAGGUUUUCUAGUUUGUAUGUAUAGAGUUGUUCAUAGUAGUUUCUGAUGGUUGCUUUUAUUUCUGUGGGGUAAGUAGUAACCCCUUUGUCAUUUCUAAUUAUGUUUAUUUGGAUUUUCUCUCUUUUCUUCUUAAUUAGUCUAGCUAGUAGCCUGUUUUAUUAAUUUUUUCAAAAAACCAAUUCCUGGAUUCAUUGAUCUUUUGAAUAGCUUUUUAUGUCUCGAUUUUUUUCAGUUCAGCUCUGAUUUUUUGUUAUUUCUCAUCUUCUGCUAGCUUUGGGGUUGAUUUGUUCUUGCCUCUUUAAUUUCUUCAAUUGUGAAGUUAGAUUGUUAACUUGAGAUCUUCCUACCUUUUUGAUGUGGGCACUUAGUGCUAUAAAUUUCCCUCUUAACACUGUUUUAGCUGUGUCCCAGAGAUUCUGGUAUGUUUUAUGUUUGUUCUCAUUAUUUUCAAAGAACUUCUUUAUUUCUGCUUUAAUUUCAUUACUUACCCAAAAGUCAUUCAGGAUAGGUUGUUUAAUUUGUGGUAAUUGUAUGGUAAUUUCCGUGUAAUUGAGUGAUUUUCAUUGUGUUGACUUCUAUUUUUAUUGCACUGUGGUCUCAGAGUGUGUUUGGUAUGAUUUCAGUUUUUUUACAUUAGUUGAGGACUGUUUAAUGUCCAAUUAUGUGGUCAUUUUUGGAGUAUGUGCCAUGUGACAAUUAGAAGAAUGUAUAUUGUGUUGUUUUUGGAUGGAGACUUCUGUAAAAGUCUAUCGGAUCCAUUUGGUCCAAUGCUGAGUUUAGGUCCUGAAUAUCUUUGUUAAUUUUCUGCCUCGAUGAUCUAAUACUGUCAGUGGAAUGUUGAAGUCCCCCACUAUUAUUUUUUGGGAGUCUAUGUCUCUUUGUAGGUGUCUAAGAACUUGCUUUGGCCGG
rnacentral:lncRNA from 1 species